UGCUGGCUGGCAUGGAAACUGACGGAUC
rnacentral:sRNA from 1 species